rnacentral:rRNA from 1 species
CGCAAGCCUGACGGAGCAAGACCGCGUGCGGGAUGACGGCCUAAUGGUUGUAAACCGUUUUUCUCUGGGAAGAUGAUGACGGUACCAGAGGAAUCAGCCUCGGCUAACUCCGUGCCAGCAGCCGCGGUAAUACGGAGGAGGCAAGCGUUAUCCGGAAUUAUUGGGCGUAAAGCGUCCGUAGGUGGUUAUUCAAGUCUGCUGUCAAAGCGUGGGGCUUAACUCCAUAGAGGCAGUGGAAACUGGAUGACUUGAGUGCGGUAGGGGUCGAGGGAAUUCCCAGUGUAGCGGUGAAAUGCGUAGAUAUUGGGAAGAACACCAGUGGCGAAAGCGCUCGACUGGGCCUGCACUGACACUGAGGGACGAAAGCUAGGGGAGCG